rnacentral:rRNA from 1 species
GACGAACGCUGGCGGCGUGCUUAACACAUGCAAGUCGAGCGGAAAGGCCCUUUCGGGGGUACUCGAGCGGCGAACGGGUGAGUAACACGUGAGUAAUCUGCCCUUGGCUUUGGGAUAACCACCGGAAACGGUGGCUAAUACCGGAUAUGACGCGCCCCGGCAUCGGGGUGUGUGGAAAGUUUUUUCGGCCAGGGAUGUGCUCGCGGCCUAUCAGCUUGUUGGUGGGGUAAUGGCCUACCAAGGCUUCGACGGGUAGCCGGCCUGAGAGGGUGACCGGCCACACUGGGACUGAGACACGGCCCAGACUCCUACGGGAGGCAGCAGUGGGGAAUAUUGGACAAUGGGCGGAAGCCUGAUCCAGCAACGCCGCGUGAGGGAUGACGGCCUUCGGGUUGUAAACCUCUUUCAGUACCGACGAAGCGCCGAUGAUGGUGGUGACGGUAGGUACAGAAGAAGCACCGGCCAACUACGUGCCAGCAGCCACAGUAA